rnacentral:snoRNA from 1 species
GGGUCAAUAAUGAAAACUCAUAUUAACAUGAUUAGAAAUGAAGACUUAAAAUCAUGCUCAAUAGGAUUAUGCUGAGGCCC